AGAGUUUGAUCCUGGCUCAGAUUGAACGCUGGCGGCAUGCUUUACACAUGCAAGUCGAACGGUAACAGGCCGCAAGGUGCUGACGAGUGGCGAACGGGUGAGUAAUGCAUCGGAACGUGCCCAGUCGUGGGGGAUAACGCAGCGAAAGCUGCGCUAAUACCGCAUACGAUCUAUGGAUGAAAGCGGGGGACCGUAAGGCCUCGCGCGAUUGGAGCGGCCGAUGUCAGAUUAGGUAGUUGGUGGGGUAAAGGCUCACCAAGCCAACGAUCUGUAGCUGGUCUGAGAGGACGACCAGCCACACUGGGACUGAGACACGGCCCAGACUCCUACGGGAGGCAGCAGUGGGGAAUUUUGGACAAUGGGCGCAAGCCUGAUCCAGCAAUGCCGCGUGCAGGAAGAAGGCCUUCGGGUUGUAAACUGCUUUUGUACGGAACGAAACGGCUCUGGUUAAUACCUGGGGCUAAUGACGGUACCGUAAGAAUAAGCACCGGCUAACUACGUGCCAGCAGCCGCGGUAAUACGUAGGGUGCAAGCGUUAAUCGGAAUUACUGGGCGUAAAGCGUGCGCAGGCGGUUUUGUAAGACAGGCGUGAAAUCCCCGGGCUCAACCUGGGAAUGGCGCUUGUGACUGCAAAGCUGGAGUGCGGCAGAGGGGGAUGGAAUUCCGCGUGUAGCAGUGAAAUGCGUAGAUAUGCGGAGGAACACCGAUGGCGAAGGCAAUCCCCUGGGCCUGCACUGACGCUCAUGCACGAAAGCGUGGGGAGCAA
rnacentral:rRNA from 1 species